rnacentral:rRNA from 1 species
UACGGAGGGAGCUAGCGUUGUUCGGAAUUACUGGGCGUAAAGCGCACGUAGGCGGCUUUGUAAGUUAGAGGUGAAAGCCCGGAGCUCAACUCCGGAAUUGCCUUUAAGACUGCAUCGCUUGAAUCCGGGAGAGGUGAGUGGAAUUCCGAGUGUAGAGGUGAAAUUCGUAGAUAUUCGCAAGAACACCAGUGGCGAAGGCGGCUCACUGGCCCGGUACUGACGCUGAGGUGCGAAAGCGUGGGGAGCAAACAGG